GUCAGGUAAGGUGGUAUACGCCUACUGCCGGGGAGGCUAAAUCUGGUGGCUCUCUCGAGCUCAGGAGUUCUGAGCUGCAGUGGGCUAAGCUGAUUGAGUUUCUUCACUAAGUUUGACAUAAAUAUGGUGAGUCCCCAGGUGCAGGGUCAGAGAAAGACCACCAGGUUGCCUAAGGAGGGGAGAUUCUGCCCAUGUUAGAAACAAAGCAGGUCAAGGCUUCCGUGAUGAUCAGAGUGGGAACAGGCCCAUGAGCAGCCCCUACACUUCCAGCCCGAUUAAGGAAGGAAGAACUAGCCUGUU
rnacentral:SRP_RNA from 1 species